rnacentral:rRNA from 1 species
CUGCUGCCUUCCGUAGGAGUUUGGCCGUGUCUCAGUCCAAUGUGGGGGGUUGACCUCUCAGUCCCCCUAUGUAUCGUCGCCUUGGUGAGCCGUUACCUCACCAACUAGCUAAUACAACGCAUGUCCAUCUCUGACCACCUGAGUUUUCAACCACCGAAGAUGCCUCCGGUGAUGUUAUGGGGUAUUAGUACCAAUUUCUCGAUGUUAUCCCCCUGUCAAAGGUAGGUUACAUACGCGUUACGCACCCGUCCGCCGGUCGCCGG